CCUACGGGGGGCAGCAGUGGGGAAUUUUCCGCAAUGGGCGAAAGCCUGACGGAGCAAUACCGCGUGAGGGAUGACGGCCUAUGGGUUGUAAACCUCUUUUUUCAGGGAGGAAUAAAUGACGUGUACCUGAAGAAUAAGCAUCGGCUAACUCCGUGCCAGCAGCCGCGGUAAGACGGAGGAUGCAAGUGUUAUCCGGAAUCACUGGGCGUAAAGCGUCUGUAGGUGGUUUAAUAAGUCAACUGUUAAAUCUUGAGGCUUAACUUCAAAAUCGCAGUCGAAACUAUUAGACUAGAGUAUAGUAGGGGUAAAGGGAAUUUCCAGUGGAGCGGUGAAAUGCGUAGAGAUUGGAAAGAACACCGAUGGCGAAGGCACUUUACUGGGCUAUUACUAACACUCAGAGACGAAAGCUAGGGUAGCAAAUGGGAUUAGAUACCCCAGUAGUC
rnacentral:rRNA from 1 species